rnacentral:lncRNA from 1 species
ACAUUGAUCAACAAAUUGAAAAUUUGUAUGCUCUUGUCAAGCCAGGUUUCAAUUAGACAACUUCUCAUCAUUAUGAUGUGGUUCCACAAUUACUAACCAACCCCACAUUGGCUUCACCAAACUUAUUUAGCACUAAAUUCAUACCCAGACCAUAACAGAUUCUUUAAAUAGAUAAACUUAUUGAAUGCUCACAAGAAUGCCUUAUUGUCUAUUUUUUUCAUUGAUGAGGAAACCAGUGCUCAGAGAGUUAGAGAAGCUGUCCAAAGUCUCAUAGAAAUUAUGUCAUCAGAAGUAAG